GGACUGCUAAUGGGCUGCAGCUCAGUGGUUAGAGCAUCUCCUUUGCAUGCAGAAAGUCCUAGAUUCUAUUGCUGGCAGGUCCA